rnacentral:rRNA from 1 species
GACGAACCGUGCGAACGUUGUUCGGAUUCACUGGGCUUAAAGGGCGCGUAGGCGGCUUGCCAAGUCAGGGGUGAAAUCUUUCGGCUUAACCGGAAAAGUGCUUCUGAUACUGGCGGCUGGAGGGAGGUAGGGGCAGACGGAACUUCCGGUGGAGCGGUGAAAUGCGUAGAUAUCGGAAGGAACGCCGGUGGCGAAAGCGGUCUGCUGGACCUCUUCUGACGCUGAGGCGCGAAAGCCAGGGGGAGCAAACGGG